GUCUUUGGCUAUGCACAACAAUAAAUAAUGUUGCCCUUUCACCUGUAACCUUUCAACCCUCAGUUGUGAAAGGCAAAAUGGCAGCGUCCGUACCAAGUAUUGGAAGAAUUUUAUGCCGUGUGUAUCCUCUACUUUUACAGAUUUUUCUGCGGAAUAAGAGGUUACCUGUCAUGCGUUGGACCCAGGCUGUGUUUCCAAGUGUGAAGUCCAGUCUCUCUCUGUGCACUGCAGCAUAACCUGAACUCCCCAGUGACGCUGCUGUGGCAGUGGAGAAUUUAACCGCUGCAAGGACAGACCAUGGGGCUACCUGGAGAGCAAAGUACAUAGAGCGCUAUGGAACCAGUCCAGUGUGGUCUGACUACAGGAGGAACCAGAAAGGAGGGAUUCCCCCUCAGAAGACAUGCAAGACCUGCAUUAGGAGACACGAUAUGUGGGAACCCCCAUCCAAUUUGUUGAGACACCAUCAUCAUCCACUAUCAGAAUGUGAAGCUGCUGCAAAUGUUUAUAAGCCUAUAUACAGGCUUAUAAAUGACCCCACACGGACAGGUAAGAUGGUUUCUAUUUAUGUAAUGUGUAUAGAAUUCUAUGAAUGAAUCUGAAUUAACCAUGCUGAAUUCAGCAGGUGUUAUCUAAAUACUUGCUGGUUUCAUCAAAAUAAGUUGUCUUUGAUUUGAUGAAUGAUGAAUUUACAGUUGACACAGCCAGGAAUCUGAGAGGCUGCCAAUAGGUGUUUAAGUGAUGAAAACAGUCCUGCAUAAAGUAACAUCUGGUUCAAGACCAACACCUUUUGUGAGGUUUGAGGUAACUAAAGUGCCACAUUUAUAUUGUUAUUCUACAUUUUUAUCCAGGAGUGUCAGAAACAGAAAAAGUAACUCAAUCAGGCAAUUGGCAUUGCUAGAGCCCAGGGUAAGUUCAGCCUCUGUGACUAAGGAGCAGAACAGUAAUGAAGAAUGACAUUUUUUGUGACCAGUGCAGCGGUUCAACAAUGCCACCAAAAGAGAAACUGCAGUUCUCUACAAUACAUAAAUAUUGUCCAUAUUUCCAGGGCUACUACCCUUCCAGGUUCCUCAUGUGGACUUCACAGGGGAGGACUAUUCCAACUCCCAUAACGCAGUUGGUUCAACCCCUCCUCCCCCACCAUGACCCCUUGGUACAGAUGGUACCACACCAUGCAGCUAGACGAGACUGAAGUCAAGAAGACCAACGAGGCCUAUUUGACAUAGACUAGGGCCUACCAGAGGAAUCAUGGUGAAAUUUAUUUUUUGUGAUUUAAUUUGGGCUUUCUGGAAGUAGUAGAGCAAGUUUUAAAGAUGUAUGCAGAAAUCGCUCCGCCAUUUCCUGGUUGCUAAAAUUCUAAUAGUUUGUCCAAUUUCAGUUUGUGACAAAACAAGCAAGUAUAGUGUAAAGAAUCAUUGUACCAUCUAAACCGCAGUGUGAAAUCUUUUCCAUAACCCAAAAUAUUUUUAUUUUCAGAUGGUGUACAAAAACAAGACGCUAAAAGUAAACUUAAGCAUAUAAAUAGUGCACAGAACAUAUUACUGCUUCUUGGACUUGCUUUCCACGAGUGACAGAUCUACAACUCACAUUUCUGUGAAUUUGGUCGGGUCGCACUAAAAGUUACAUAUUGCAGCUUUAAAACAAGUUAUAAAAUAUUGUUUUCAUGCCAAUAUUGCUUUUGGUUGAGUUUUGCUAAAACAUGUCACAGAUCACUGAUUCAUUCCAGCCCCUUCUCCUCACAGGCUACAACUUAAUCUAAUUGUAUUUGUCACAUACUUUGUAAACAACCAGUGUAGACUAACAGUGAAAUGCUUAUCUACUUGCAUGACAAGUAAUUUUUCAACAAUUGUUUAGACAGAUUUAACUUAUAAUUCACUGUAUCACAAUUCCAGUGGGUCAGAAGUUUACAUACACUAAGUUGUGACUGUGCCUUUAAACAGCGUGGAAAAUUCCAGAAAAUGUCAUGGCUUUAGAAGCUUCUGAUAGGCUAAUUGACAUCAUUUGAGUCAAUUGGAGGUGUAGUUCAAGGCCUACCUUCAAACUCGUGCCUCUUUGCUUGACAUCAUGGGAAAAUCUAAAGAAAUCAGCCAAGACCUCAGAAUUUUUUUUA